UUAGAUGUUUAGUAACAUCGUAUCUUUAGAACGAAACCAACAUACCAGUUUUUAGUCGCUACAUUCAUAGUCAGAGAAUAAGUUACACUUGAUCUAGCCUAUCGAUGUUUAAUACCAAAUUCAACCCAUGGAAUGGAACGUUUCGUAACUUGACAGAAACGUUUUGAUUUUUGCAAAAAUUAUGUCGUAAGCUCAAAUAUAUGUACCUCGAGGUUCGUGUGAUAUGAAUUAAAUUAACACCAUGGAAGUGGAAGCGAUCACAUACGAGUUCAUUCUACUGGGGAUCGUACUGUUGAUCAUAUGCAUGUAUAUAUGCUCGACAAUCUGCAUAAUAAUUCAUUUGGGCAAAUUUUUCACAACUCGAACACCACAAAGUCUAUCAACAAAGAACCUUACUUUUUAUUGUUUUUUCUUACUAUUGAUUUAUAUUUCUGUACCCAUAUAUAUUUUAUGUACAGGUGUCUUUCAGGCGAAUUUUGACUACAAUUUCCGAAAAAAUUUAGUAUUUACAAUAGUUCAUUUGGUAAUGACAGCGACAUUCAUAAAAUUCAUUAUGGCUUCGGAUCUAUUCGUGUGUUUUCGCCAAAUCGCCGUCAGUUUACAAAAACCAGUUUCUGCGGCUACCCAGAAUAUAAAAUUCGUCGUUUACUGCGUUCUAGGUAUCAGUAUUCCAGCUUUGUAUACCGUAAUUUGGUACAUAAUUGUGAACCCAAGUAGCGAUUACGACCUGUACUCGUCCUUUGGACCAUUCUUGGCCAUGAGGGUUAUUCGUGUCGCUCGUUUAUUUUUAAUUAUCGGCGCGUUUUGGUAUAUUAGAUCAGCUAGCAUGGAUCGGAAGGAAUUACGGUCCAAGUAUGGUCUUCAUUUACGUAUUCUUUCGAUGCUGGGGGGAUUUUCGGCUUUAAUGAGUAUCGCGGAAGUUGUUACAGUGAUGCUGGGUGACUCCGAAUCCUCCUCAAAAGAUGAAAUUGUUCUUUACUAUUUUAUUAUUAAUUAUGUGGGGUGUUGUCUAGAAGGGGUCGUGAUUGGUAUUUUAUUCACGUUUAAAAAAGCAACAUUCCAGUCUACUAGUACUAGUAGUCAAACGACAACGACUGAAUAGUUUAUCAUAGAUUAAAUCUCAUAUGUAACAUGUGUAUAUUUUAAGAAAAUAAAUAAUUGUUUUCAUCAUUU